rnacentral:rRNA from 1 species
CCUUAACUGACGCUAAAGCUCGAAGGUGCGGGUAUCGAACAGGAUUAGAUACCCUGGUAGUCCGCACGGUAAACGAUGGAUGCCCGCUGUCGGCGAUACACGGUCGGCGGCCAAGCGAAAGCGUUAAGCAUCCCACCUGGGGAGUACGCCGGCAACGGUGAAACUCAAAGGAAUUGACGGGGGCCCGCACAAGCGGAGGAACAUGUGGUUUAAUUCGAUGAUACGCGAGGAACCUUACCCGGGCUUGAACUGCCAGCGAACGAAACAGAGAUGUUGAGGCCCUUCGGGGCGCUGGUGGAGGUGCUGCAUGGUUGUCGUCAGCUCGUGCCGUGAGGUGUCGGCUUAAGUGCCAUAACGAGCGCAACCCCUCUCGCGAGUUGCCAUCAGGUAAUGCUGGGGACUCUCGCGACACUGCCUCCGUAAGGUGUGAGGAAGGUGGGGAUGACGUCAAAUCAGCACGGCCCUUACGUCCGGGGCUACACACGUGUUACAAUGGAUGGUACAGAGAGCCGGGUGCCCGCAAGGUCGCCCCAAUCAAUAAAGCCAUCCUCAGUUCGGAUUGGGGUCUGCAACCCGACCCCAUGAAGCUGGAUUCGCUAGU